rnacentral:rRNA from 1 species
UCUUGGCCAGCCUUCUGAAAGGAAGAUUAAUCCAGGAUGGGAUCAUGAGUUCACAUGUCCGCAUGAUUAAAGGUAUUUUCCGGUAGACGAUGGGGAUGCGUUCCAUUAGAUAGUAGGCGGGGUAACGGCCCACCUAGUCAACGAUGGAUAGGGGUUCUGAGAGGAAGGUCCCCCACAUUGGAACUGAGACACGGUCCAAACUCCUACGGGAGGCAGCAGUGAGGAAUAUUGGUCAAUGGGCGAUGGCCUGAACCAGCCAAGUAGCGUGAAGGAUGACUGCCCUAUGGGUUGUAAACUUCUUUUAUAAAGGAAUAAAGUCGGGUAUGCAUACCCGUUUGCAUGUACUUUAUGAAUAAGGAUCGGCUAACUCCGUGCCAGCAGCCGCGGUAAUACGGAGGAUCCGAGCGUUAUCCGGAUUUAUUGGGUUUAAAGGGAGCGUAGAUGGAUGUUUAAGUCAGUUGUGAAAGUUUGCGGCUCAACCGUAAAAUUGCAGUUGAUACUGGAUGUCUUGAGUGCAGUUGAGGCAGGCGGAAUUCGUGGUGUAGCGGUGAAAUGCUUAGAUAUCACGAAGAACUCCGAUUGCGAAGGCAGCCUGCUAAGCUGCAACUGACAUUGAGGCUCGAAAGUGUGGGUAUCAAACAGGAUUAGAUACCCUGGUAGUCCACACGGUAAACGAUGAAUACUCGCUGUUUGCGAUAUACGGCAAGCGGCCAAGCGAAAGCGUUAAGUAUUCCACCUGGGGAGUACGCCGGCAACGGUGAAACUCAAAGGAAUUGACGGGGGCCCGCACAAGCGGAGGAACAUGUGGUUUAAUUCGAUGAUACGCGAGGAACCUUACCCGGGCUUAAAUUGCACUCGAAUGAUCCGGAAACGGUUCAGCUAGCAAUAGCGAGUGUGAAGGUGCUGCAUGGUUGUCGUCAGCUCGUGCCGUGAGGUGUCGGCUUAAGUGCCAUAACGAGCGCAACCCUUGUUGUCAGUUACUAACAGGUGAUGCUGAGGACUCUGACAAGACUGCCAUCGUAAGAUGUGAGGAAGGUGGGGAUGACGUCAAAUCA